GUGAAAUCUUGGGAAGUGGAGCAUUUAAGACUGUCUAUAAGGCAUUUGACAAUAUUGAUGGAAUAGAAGUUGCCUGGAAUCAAAUUUGCAUAGAUGAUGCUUUGCAGUCGCCUGAACAUUUGGAGAGAACAUAUUCCGAGGUUCACUUGUUGAAAAUGUUGAAGAAUGAGAACGUUAUAAAAUUAUAUACUUCAUGGGUGGACGAUGUGAACAAAAGUAUUA
rnacentral:misc_RNA from 1 species